ensembl:lncRNA
GGGGCUUAAAGUACAGACUGACACCAAUGUGUCCUUGUGUAGACUUUUGGUAGGCAGGGCUUAAAGUACAUACUGACACCAAUGUAUCCUUGUGCAAACAUUUUUGAGGCGGGGCUUAAAGUACAGACUGACACCAAUGUGUCCUUGUGCAGACUUUUGGUAGGCGGGGCUUAAAGUACAGACUGACACCAAUGUGUCCUCAUUAAAAUUUCUGGGAGGUGUAGCUUAGGGACCGGACAGACACCAACUGCGCUAAAGGAAGAAAUGAUUUCAGUUAUGCAAGAUGACUGCCUGUAUAAUGCAUUUUUGUCUAUUUCUUUUGUUUAGAUUUGAUAGAUUUAUAUAUAAGUGACAUGACUGAUUUGAGGAAGAUAUUUAGACUUCUCUUACGUCUCAGGCCGAUCUGAGGCGGAGCUCCAUUUCCGAACUAAAGAAGCGAACAUGACACGUCAUUUGGAAAAUUGUAUAAAAAAAAAAAGUUUUCCUUUCAUCUCAGUGAUGACGACUGAUAAUGAUGAUGCUGAGUCUUUCCUACCACAUGAACUAUCAUUACUGUGUCAUAUUAAGGCCUGAUUAUAGUCUAUAAUUUGACUUUAUUAUAUUUCAAAACUCUUUAUCCUGCGUAGCACCAUGUCGUGCUGUCGAGGAUGCGUUCUGAUCUCGAUCUCCACCCAUGCCUGUUGUUUUCUCUAUACUUCCAUUCACUUCUCUGAAUUCUCCAGUUGCUUUGAAAAAGUCUGAACCAGCACCAGAGAAAAUUUCAUCUCGCAUCAAUACGGCUCCGUUCUCUUUAAAUAAGCUGAUAUAAAUAUCUUUACGAUGUUCGUUCCUGCUGUUAUUUACAUGAACACUGAGGCCGAGUACGCGUUUGAAUGUUCUUCCACCUGUCGCUCACAGGUUUUGCAUUGUUUCUAUACACGGUAACCAGAUGUCAGGAACGGCAUCGUGAACCACAUUCAAAUCACCGAUGGAAAUUUGUCCACAGGGGAUCGCACUCUAUGACAAAUGUCUCCACACCAGAGAAGUGUGUGUGGAAGGGGUAUAAUCGAUCUAAAAACUGUCUUUGUAUAGAUCCCUGCUUCGCUCAGUCAGAUUAGUACAAUGUUAAAAAUACGGGAUUCUAUAGGGCUGAGAUUGGAGAACACUGAUAAUAUGUUUCUUUAAAUAUCUGUUGUAUUGCACUGAUUUGUAAGAGACAGAGUGAUGACACAGUAUUGAAUUUAUCCAGGUUUAUUCUGCCGCACAUAUCGAUGAUACACUGAGAACGCAGAGGAAUGUGUUGCGAAUGAUACUGUAAGCUGCUUUUUUACCGCACACUAUAACGAAGCCCGUUCUGCUUUCUUUUCCCCCGCCGUCUCACAAUCUCUCCGGGUUCUUUGCUUCAAAGGCAAUGUUUUUAUCCCUUGGAAAAAGAAGCAAAACAAAACAAAUGGGCAGUACUGAACUUUUUAUCAGAUCUAGAGAUGCACAGUAUCUCACUUUUGAUGUUACAGUCACACACUGUGUUACGUUAUGAUGGCUAUAUAUACGACAAACAACAGAACCUAGAGCAAUGUAAAUGAAAUGUACAUAAUUAUUAAGAAAAACAUACAUCUUUUCUUUUAUUUGCACUGAUAGUAAGAAAAAGAAAGUUAUGCCAGUUUUAUCAAGUUUUAUUAAGGUGAAUCAGCUGUAUGGAUUUGGGAUAUUAUUGUUCAAAUAAAUAUAGUAAACAGAUGUGUCACAUACAGGCAAUAUUUUUUAAUAUAAUAAUAAUAUUAUUAUAGAAGAAGAAGAAAAAAAAGAAUGAUUAUUAUUUAUGUUUAUA